GCAAAUGUUUAUUUAAAUGUAAUUGUUUCAAUAAAAUAUAUCAAAUGUAAGACAAACAUAAGAAUUGGAAUAAAAAAUGUGGAUAAUCAGGUUUACCUAAGGGCAAGAAGUGGGUUCGAGCCGUGAACCGAAUGCAGGCAGAACUUUGAUGCAGUGAGUGGGUUUGAACCCUCAAACAAAGGAAGAACUCAAAGAGAAAACAAAACAUUGUCUUAUUUAGCAAAUAUUUGUUUGUAAACUUCAUCGGCAUGCUAUGAAUAUUAUGUAUUGGGAGCACAUAAAAAUGUCAACCUUUUCAAAUGGAGCAUAUUGAACAAAUUAUAGUUCUGUGCUAAACAGUUCGAAGGGCAAACAAAGAAUCGCAGACUCCCAUGUGCCAAGUCGACUUCCGUUCCCGUUCCCGUUCCCGUUCACCUGAGUUGACCAGGUCGAAUCGAUGCUGCUGCUGGGCAAUUGUCCUGGCAUUGUGCUGUCUCAGCAGCAUCUACUGGCUGCAGCGUCCUUUUGUCGUCCUUUAUUGUCUGCAAUUCAACGGAACUCGAAUUGUGUUUGUUGUGCAAAUUGUUUCAGCGUUUGCCAAAGACAAACAGCAACAGCAAAAUAAAAAAUAAAA